CAACAUGAAGUCUCAUCACCCAACAAAUGACACCCAAUAAUCUUCAAGAAACAGCCACCCCUGUACAAUUCCACACACUUCCAUAGUCUUCCAAAUGACACUACAUGGUAUGGAACAACCCUUGGCCUAAUUCAAGUCAUCUGUCUCAGCUCCUCCCCUCCCCCUGCUGCCAGCCAUAAAGGCAGAUGCUCAUCCCUGCUGAGUAGUCUGUCCUGGCUUUGGCUGUGUUCCUAUCAGUUCCUCCAGAACUGACCCAUAUUCAUAUUUCCCCCAUAUACCAAAACUAAGCGAUAUUCCUUAUGACUGAGAAUCACUCUUUAGUUCCCUUCUCCACCUGAGAAAGUGCAGCUACAGUAAAAGCUUAUAUUUUUGGUGGAUUGCAAAUAACACAUUAACUUACUGGAUUAUCCCCAAGGAGCCUGGGAACUCUGUGAAGUCAGUGGUUGCUCUCUUCCCUUUCAUAGAAUCAUUAAAGUUGGCAAAGAUCUUUAUGAUAAUCUAUUUCAACCAUCAAUCCAUAAAUACUGAACUGUAUCCCUCACUACCACAUUUACACAUUUCUUGAACUCCUCCAGGGAUGAUGAACCUACCACCUUCCCUAGGCAUCCUGUUUCAAUGUAUUACCACUCUUCCAGAGAAGAAAGGUUUCCUAAUAUCCAACCUGAAUCUCACUCACCUGAUACAACUUAAGGCCAUUACCUCUCAUUACUAUCACCUGGGAGAAGAGACCAAACCCCAUCUCUCUACAACCUCCCUUCAGGUUGUUGGAGAGAGUGAUGGGGUUGUCCCUGAGCCUCCUCCUUUCCAAAGUGAACAAUCCUUUCUGUAAGACUUGUGUUCCAGACCCUUCAAGAUUUAUUGCCCUUCUUUGUACACACUCCAGGUCCUCAACAUCUUUCUUGUAGUGAAGGGCCCAAAGCCAAACACAGUACUCAAGGUGCGGCCUCACUGAGUACUGAGGCACAAUCACCUCCCUUGUUCUGCUCAUUACAAGCCAGGAUGCCAUUGGCCUUGGCUACCUGAGCAUGCUACUUUCUCAUGUUCAGCUGGCUGUUGACUAAUACCCCAGACCCUUUUCUUCCAUGUAGAUUUCCAGACACUCUGCCAUUUAGUGUUGUAUGGGGCUGGUGUGACCACAAUGCAGGAUCCAGCACUUGGUCUUCUUGCAGCUCAUGCAACUAGCCUCAACCCAUUGAUCCAACUUAUCCAGAUCCCUCUGCAGGACCUUCCUUCUCCCAGACAUAUCAACACUUCCUCCCAACUUGGUAUCAUCUGCAAACUUACUGAGAGUGCACUCAAUCCCCUCAUCCAGAUCAUCAGUAAAGAUACAAAGUAGGACUGGCUUCAGUACUGACUGCUGAAGAACUCUGCUCAUGAUGCAUCACCAGCUGGAUUGUUUGCAUUCAUGCUUGAAUCAAGAAUCCUAUCAACUGUGCAUUUUCUAUGAGACAGUGAACACCCAUUGCUCACAGCAGAUUUUGUGGUGCCUGGAGUAUUCAGUGUCUUACAAGAGAAGGUCUUUAAAAAGAAAACUGUUUUGCUUUCCUCAAAACAGAGAUUUACUGUUAGAAGCACAACAUACAUAACUACUACGUUUAUAUGAGAUCAAUAGAGUGAAUUCUGAAUAAAAUAUAUAUAGACACAUAACUUGGCUGUAGCAAUUAAAUCUUUCUAGUGUGAUAAAUACAUUAAUCAUUAUAUGAUUAAAUCCAUAAUCCUUAGCAUAGGAGGAAGAUUUGGAAAAAAAACAACAGAGUAUGAAUAGUUGUAUGAACCUAAAAAUAUUUAAAUGUAAUUUAAGUUCACUUUGUUUCUAUUUUGGAGUUUCUGGUGACUUGCAAUGCUAGCGGUUCUAACCUUAGCUAUUCAAGUUAUUUAGUAUGCUAAGGUCAUCUCCAAAAUUCCCUGACUGCACAUUUGGG
ensembl:lncRNA